AUACGUAGGGUGCAAGCGUUAUCCGGAUUUACUGGGCGUAAAGGGUCCGUCGGCGACCCAGCAAGUCUUUUGUUUAAUCCUGCGGCUCAACUGCAGAAAGGCAAAAGAAACUGUUGGGAUUGAGUAUGUUAGGGGAAGCUGGAAUUCUCGGUGGAGGGGUGAAAUCCGUAGAUAUCGAGAGGAACGCCAAUCGCGAAGGCAGGCUUCUAUGACAUUACUGACGCUCAGGGACGAAAGCUAGGGUAGCAAAAGGGAUUAGAAACCCUAGUAGUCC
rnacentral:rRNA from 1 species